UGAGAAAAGCGGUGGCCCAACAGCCCCACAGC
rnacentral:piRNA from 1 species